rnacentral:rRNA from 1 species
UACGUAGGGGGCAAGCGUUGUCCGGAAUCAUUGGGCGUAAAGAGCGCGUAGGCGGCCCGAUAAGUCCGCUGUGAAAGUCAAGGGCUCAACCCUUGAAUGCCGGUGGAUACUGUCGGGCUAGAGUCCGGAAGAGGCGAGUGGAAUUCCUGGUGUAGCGGUGAAAUGCGCAGAUAUCAGGAGGAACACCAAUGGCGAAGGCGGCGUUCUGGACUGCAACUGACACUGAUGAACGAAAGCCAGGGGAGCAAACGGG